AUUGAACGCUGGCGGCAGGCCUAACACAUGCAAGUCGAACGGAGUGGCGGACGGGUGAGUAAUGCCUAGGAAUCUGCCUGGUAGUGGGGGAUAACUUCUGGAAACGGGCGCUAAUACCGCAUACUAUCAGAUGAGCCUAUGUCGGAUUAGCUAGUAGGUGGGGUAAAGGCCUACCAAGGCGACGAUCCGUAACUGGUCUGAGAGGAUGAUCAGCCACACUGGAACUGAGACACGGCCCAGACUCCUACGGGAGGCAGCAGUGGGGAAUAUGGGACAAUGGGCGAAAGCCUGAUCCAGCCAUGCCGCGUGUGUGAAGAAGGUCUUCGGGUUGUAAAGCACUUUCAGUUGGGAGGCGUUACCAACAGAAUAAGCACCGGCUAACUUCGUGCCAGCCGCCGCGGUAAUAC
rnacentral:rRNA from 1 species